rnacentral:miRNA from 1 species
UGAUAAAGUCCUGUCAGUCCU